UGUGUGUGUGUGUGUUUUGUUGUGUAUUAGCUGCUGGUGCCUGCAGGCAGUCCUCGGUUGCCCAGGAAACACAGAUGGUGGAUGAAGGGCGCGCAUACAAAAGAGCGUAAACCUGUGGCAGCAGCUGGAGACCGAGACCGCUGAUUAAUUCAGGUCUGUGCAGUCCUGCUUUAGUCAAAGACGUCGCUGUUCUCUUUAAUACCUCCCAUCCAUUUCUUUGUCCCGGGGCUUCCGUCUCCACUUCAUCCUGCUUUCUCCCUGGACUCCCCCCCCUCCGUCAGUGCGCAGCUGUUGUUGGCACUCCCACAUCUGCUCGUCUCAGCUCGGCAGCCAUACAGACGAUGGACGCUCAUGUUAGUGCGUAUACCGUGGAGGUCCGGAGGGCCACCAGCCUUUCACUGCAGGCGUGGUGUUUGAAGCUUGCCCUCAGCGUGGACAGAAACAGAAGAAGACGCAGGAGAAGGAGGUGCAGAGGUGGAGGAUCUUUUUCGCACCGUCUGAUGCUGCGGGACAGGUGCGCAGGAAACCUGGAGAUCACCGGCAACCUCGUGGACGGUGUUGCAUGGCCUUUGCACUGGAUUCAUCUCCACAGCUGCUGACAUGUCACCAGUCAGACCACAUGGGAGGAUCCGAAUGGGGGGACCAUCAGCAGGACAGGUUAUGUGUACAGGCCUGGAUUAUCUUUAUUAAAAUCACGAGGGAGGUUGAUUUUUCUGUGGCACACAUGACACAGACGGAGUAUUUAGCUGAAUAUAGACAGCGAAUGUCAGUGACGCCUAUCUCUAGUGACUUAUAUCUCCUCGCUGUGGGUGUAUUUCAGUCUCAUUUGUGUCUAAAUAAAAAAGCAGUAAGACAGAGUGAGAGAGAAACCAUAGAACCAGAAAUCUCUGGGGUAUCUCGAACAGUUGGGUCGCGUCCCACUUUUCUGCUGCUUUGUGUUGUGUGUCCCUCUCCAGUUACACUGAUGGGAAAGAAGAUCAGGGCUCGGGACCGGACCUCACUCGCCCGCUCCAUCAACCCGUCUACUGUGCUGCCUCACAGACUGGUACAGGAUCUGUCAGUAGAUUUACAGCAUGUGAUGGAUGCACGGUGCCAUUACAGCUGUCCCGUACCUUCAGAAGGAGACGAUCCACGUUCAAACCCACCCACCAACACCACCCCGCCUGCCUCCAUCCCCAACCGAGAGACGACUUCUGCUGCUCUUUGUGCAAUCUGUGAAAACGAGUUUAAAAAUGCAACCGCUGCUUUCGCAGUCAGCAUGAUCAGAUUUAGCAGGGAGGUAAUUUCAGGGCUGGUGUUUUGAGUCUAAAAUAAUUUGCUGCAGUGCUCUCCUUUUUUAAAAAUAUGUGUAUUUCAUCCUGACUGUGAGUAAUACUAAUACAGCUUCAUCCACCCACACACUGGUUUUUUUGUUUACUCUGGCUGAUGAGGAACACUGACACUGCAGCAUCAAACACCUCUCACGCCUGUUCGCUUCAGCUGUCGUGCGCGGUCACCUCCUCUCCUCUGUUUCCUUGGUUACUCUGUUUCACAUGUUGGUCCCUUCUCCCCGUGUCGAGACACUUUAAAUCCACUCGAAAAGCGUCUUCGCUUUGACGCUUGCUGUCCCGCGCGUGUUAACUUCUCACCAAAGCUUGCGUGCAAUCUGUGCCAAAUCCAGAACUGGAAAGCUCUGAUAUUUUAAUCCUGCAAUGUUGGGAAAAAAAAAAUCUGCUGAAGUGUGUGAGGAUGACUAGUUUUCUCACAUUUUUUUUGACAAAGUGUAAUUCACACAGUAUGUUCUUUGUUUGUCUUGAAAGCUCUUAAUUUGGAUGUGAUACCAGCGCACUGUGUGUAUUUUAACUGUAGCGCGUGGGUGCGUGCGUGCAUGUGUUUGUGUGCAUGUGCUCUAUUCGUGUGUGUGUGCGUGUGUGUUUGUUCCUGUACGUGUGCAUGUGUAUCAUGUCUGUCUGAUAAAAACAGACAUUUGCAACAGUCCUGAAGCUUUUAGCUGCUUUACGAUGAUUUCCUUCUAGCUGCAAACUUUAAAAAAAGAAUGCCUGAAGCUUCUUCUUUCAGCCACUGGAUGUACCAGAGAAGGGAUAAAAAAAUAUUUACAAAUGAUUCUUAGCAUUUGUUUCGACCUCUUGGAAGUACCAGUUAGGUGGGGAUUCUCGUGAUUUAGAUAAUCACAAGAAUGUCGCUGAAAAUUAAUGGUGUGUAGUUUUCUAAAUGAUGCCUGCUGGCAUUAAUUAAACUGUCAUGAUGCCUACAGCCCCACCAUCUGAUACUUAAGCAAAUUACAGCAAAUGCUAAUAAUUAUGUGCAAAUAGCUUUUUGCCCAGUCUGGAUUCUACUAACAGAAUCUCACUAAUAUCUAACAGUACUAAUGUCUGCUAACAGUCGGAUGAUUACUAACCUGUACUGCUGAUGGCUGGCCUUGUUCUUUCUAACCCAUUGACUAACCCUCUGCUUUAUGCCCGCAGUCUGAUGCACACACUCCUCUCUCAUGCUCCUGCAAUCCUUCUUCUAGAAAAAAAGACCAUCUUUAGAUUGAUUAUUAAAGAAGAAAAUCCCACGAAAAAACCUGUUAAAGCGAGCGAGUCGAGAAGGGUUUCAGGACUUGGGAAAGGGAUAUGUCAUUAACCACUAGAUGGAGGAGAGAGGAAA